rnacentral:tRNA from 1 species
AGAACUGUAGGUUAAGAUAAAACAAACCUUUGGCCUUCAAAGCCGAGAAUGCAUGAGCCUGUUCUGUUUUA